UACGUAGGGUGCGAGCGUUGUCCGGAAUUACUGGGCGUAAAGAGCUCGUAGGCGGUCUGUCGCGUCUGCUGUGAAAACUCGGGGCUUAACCCCGGGCCUGCAGUGGGUACGGGCAGACUAGAGUGCGGUAGGGGAGACUGGAAUUCCUGGUGUAGCGGUGAAAUGCGCAGAUAUCAGGAGGAACACCGGUGGCGAAGGCGGAUCUCACUGGGCC
rnacentral:rRNA from 1 species